GUUUCAGCCGCCGCGGUAAUACGGGGGGGGCAAGCGUUGUUCGGAAUUACUGGGCGUAAAGGGCGCGUAGGCGGUGCUCUAAGUCGGAUGUGAAAACUCUGGGCUCAACCCAGAGCCUGCAUCCGAAACUGGAGUGCUAGAGUUCUGGAGGGGGUAGCGGAAUUCCUGGUGUAGCGGUGAAAUGCGUAGAUAUCAGGAGGAACACCGGUGGCGAAGGCGGCUACCUGGACAGAAACUGACGCUGAGGCGCGAAAGCUAGGGGAGCAAACAGGAUUAGAUACCCCGGUAGUCC
rnacentral:rRNA from 1 species